rnacentral:rRNA from 1 species
GACGGAGGAUGCAAGCGUUAUCCGGAAUGAUUGGGCGUAAAGCGUCCGCAGGUGGCAGUUCAAGUCUGCUGUCAAAGACCGGGGCUUAACUUCGGAAAGGCAGUGGAAACUGAACAGCUAGAGUAUGGUAGGGGCAGAGGGAAUUCCUGGUGUAGCGGUGAAAUGCGUAGAUAUCAGGAGGAACACCGGUGGCGAAGGCGGGUCUCUGGGCCGAUACUGACGCUGAGGAGCGAAAGCAUGGGUAGCGAACAGG